rnacentral:rRNA from 1 species
UGGAUGAUUUUAUGUUUUAGCGGCGGACGGGUGAGUAACGCGUGAGCAAUCUAUCCUUUACUGGGGAAUAACGCAUCGAAAGAUGUGCUAAUACCGCAUAUGACCACAGAACCACAUGGUUCAGGGGUAAAAGGAGCAAUUCGGUAGAGGGUGAGCUCGCGUCUGAUUAGCUAGUUGGUGGGGUAAUGGCCUACCAAGGCAACGAUCAGUAGCCGACCUGAGAGGGUGAUCGGCCACACUGGAACUGAGAUACGGUCCAGACUCC